rnacentral:misc_RNA from 1 species
UCACCUACCCUUGCCAUGCAGGUGCAGUGGGCGGUGAGCACACUACCAUCUGCCAUGCACAGGACCCACACCUUCAAGGGACCGUCUCCUAGUCUCUGAGAAUGGUUUACCUGGAAUUAUGUAAGGCAGAGUAUCAAACAGCUUUUCCACGCACGCACCAAAUGCAUUUCAUCCCAGAAAGUGAGCACACACAUUAUCUGGAACAAUGACCACGUUUACAAAAGCUGCUCCGUGGCGUCUGAGAUACAGUAGAGGAGAGCAAGCAAGUUAAUCUCUGAGGUGUACAGAAAGAGGUUGUAAAUGAUUUGUUGUCUUUUGCAUGACAUGUUAACGCAGCAGUAGUGUAAGAAGACAGAGCUUCAAGAAAGCCAUACAAGGUGUGUCAUGACUACAAAAACGAGCACAAGUAAUACCCACAUCCACGCUCGGGCACCGAAAACUGCCUUCGGUUUCAUUGAUUGAUUAGGUGGCUGAUUGGGUUUGGCAUCUCAAAGCAGCAUAAGGUGAUUAUGAGAGGCACUAACGCAGACGGGCAGGCCUCCAGAUUAAUUUCGGACACGUUGGUUUCUUUAACGCGGACGCAAAACUUGACAUUCUGUCAUUUUGCGUUUCCAUCCCCAUCUAAAUGCAGUCAUCGAAACCAGGCUCAUCAGAAUCCAUGUGCUUGCGGCAGCACUACAUUUCACAGCCAUCGAGAAACUGCGGCCAGCAACGCAACAUUGUGUAGCUUUGCAUUUUAGUAUGGUUACAGGUAAAUGUGGAUGUUGGGCUUUCCUCCCCAAGCAGGAGCACUUUUCCUUGCUGGAGCCAUGUUGUUGACAAGCUCUUGGCCCAGCCGCUUGUAAAAUAAUUGUGCGCCUCAAGGGAAUUGAACGCUUUCAUCUCCUGCAGAGUCACGAAGCUCGAGGAGUAGACGAGGUAGUUGAUGAUGUCCCCGUGUGUCACUUCAGGCAGGGCAUUGACAUCCGUCGUCGUGUCAGUGCCAGGUCGCAGCGUGUAUGGGUCAACACCAUCGCACAUUCGCACCUUUUCAUCGUAUCGAGCGCGCGCAGAUCCGAUUAACUGAGCAUAAUAUGCCGUGUGAAGUGGCUUUCCUGCGAGGAGCAGGUGGCAUUGCGCCUAGAAACUGCAAAAACACUUCAAGCCAACGAAUGCGUGAAUGGCACAGCACUAAACGAGGCAACAAAUCAUCUUCCAACAUGGGCGGCCGGCCGCCUGGUGGAGCGACGGCCAUGACGUCAUGUGCAAGCUAUCUAUAGACGAACAGGCAGACAUACUAGGGGAACAUUUCUCUAAGGUUUCGAGUUCCUCACACUAUGCAGACUCGUUCUUGAAGUACAAACAUACAGCAGCAACACUCCUGACGCCACCUUAGCCUCCGCAGACAAGCUUUGUCGAGUACCAUACUCCCUUCCUUGUCAUAUAUCCCAAGUGGAAAGCAUUUCCAGUCCCGGCCGCCGGAUUAUUAGACACGAAAUCAAUUCCAGCCGCAAAUGGAAGCCGUUCUGGCUGAAAAUGGGAACCGUUCCAGCAGGAAAUGGAAGCUGUUCCAGCUAGAAAUGGAAGCCGUUUUGGCUAUAAAUGGAAGCCAAUCCAGCCGGAAACGGAAGCCGUUUCGGCUGGGAAAUGGAAGUUGUUCUAGCUGGAAAUGGGAACCGUUCCAGCAGGAAAUGGAAGCCUUUCCGGCUGGAAAUGGAUGCCAAUCCAGCCAGAAAUGGAUGUCAAUCCGGCCAGAAAUGGAAGCUGUUCCAGUCAGAAAUAGAAGCCAUUCCGGCUAGAUGUAGGGAGCAUUUCAAACGACAAACAUGCUGUUCCCAGUCAUAAAAGCUGCAUUCACACCGGCCAAGCGGGAAAGCGGGCAGCGGCAGAAAGCAAGCGGAUUUUCAACGUGGCGUGGUGGCACGCGCACGGAGUUGUUAAGACUGCCCGCCCGGCCUAGCUGCCCACGUGCCCGCAACGCCGCCCGUGGAGCCUCCCACUUUCACGAACACGUCGAGAACUUGGAGCACAUUCGAUAAACCAGUCGUUCACUCGCUCUCGCUGCUCUCGCUUGCUAACCACUUGUGAAGAAGGAUCAGCUCUGACGAAGAAGACGAAAUAGUCAGCAUUCUAAUCACCGCUUCUGUAGCAGCUUUUCAAGAAGAGCAGCUGAAAAGCUCGAAGGAAGACAGCUCGCUAACGCUGCUGGUGGGUUCGCCCAGCCUUGCAAGAACGAGAGAGAAUGGGUCAUGCCAAUGUGUUGCUACCCCACCUACAUUCGCGCGAUGUGGAAUACUACAGAGUGAGUCUCCGUUCUGCACUCAUGAGAUUUGUUGUGUGUUAAUUCCGGCAUGUACGCUAGAGCGUUGUAUGUUACGUAACAGAUAUGCUUUUUCUGCAGCUAUUUUAGGAUGCCCCCGCGCUCCUUUGACACGUUAUUAGAACUCCUGAAGCCAAGGAUACGGAGAAGUGACACAAACUACCGAAAAGCGAUUCCUCCAGAGCACCGGCUAGUGCUAGCUGUCAGGUUCUUGGCUGCAGGGGAGAUGCUGCACUCAUCUUUCAAUUUUCUACCUGGCCGCUUCACGGCUUGCGUGAUUGUUGCCGAAGUAUGCCAGGCCAUUUGGGACGUCCUCGGGCCAAUUUACGUCACACGGCCGUCAACUCCAGGCGAAUGGAUAAAGGUUGCGAGAGAGUUUGAGGACAAGUGGGACAUGCCACAUUGCCUGGGUGCGAUAGAUGGAAAACACGUGAAUGUUGAGUGUCCGGCAAACUCUGGAAGCAGAGACCGAAACUACAAAAAUGCGUUCAGCAAGUCACUGCUCGCAUUGAGCGACGCCAACUACAGCUUCCUGUAUGUUGAAAUCGGCCACCAUGGAAGCGAAUCAGAUGGUGGAAUCUUCAGCAGGAGAAUCUACAAAUGAAAAUUCUUGACAGUACUCUUGGCCUUCCUGUGUGUGAAAAUCUUGGAAGGAUAGGCAACAUUCCUUAUUUUUUCGUAGACGAUGAAGCUUUCCCUUUGAAGACAUACAUGAUGAGGCCAUAUUAAAAAAAAAGUGAGUGUCACUUGCAGGCGGAUGAUCACUUUUCACAGGAUGGACACUUCUGUCGUUCGAGCCGCUGCCACCUUGUUCCAGACACUCUUGCCCGAGCGUUUCAUCGGAUAAGAGCUGAAGUUCUUCAUCUUGGCUAAUGUUGCCUCCGUCUGCUGGCACUUCCAUUCUACAUCAAGUGCAAACAAACCCAUUUUCCAUGCGUACGUUCAAUAAAUGUUCUAAAUUCUCUGAGCUUCUUUACUUAUUCUUUGUUUGGAUUUAAUGCUUAUAUUGCAGGAGAAAACAGCUGGCUUCUAAAAGCUACUGUAUGCAUCAGCAGUGAUGCUUUCAUACAUAAUUGAGAUCACAUGUAGCCUCAUUUUGUAAGGCUUGUUAAGAAUAACAUAAAAGUCACAUAAUCAUUACAAUAUAUAAAGUU